rnacentral:rRNA from 1 species
CAGUCGCCGCGGGAAUACGUAGGGUGCAAGCGUUAAUCGGAAUUACUGGGCGUAAAGCGUGCGCAGGCGGUUAUAUAAGACAAAUGUGAAAUCCCCGGGCUCAACCUGGGAACUGCAUUUGUGACUGUAUAGCUAGAGUACGGCAGAGGGGGAUGGAAUUCCGCGUGUAGCAGUGAAAUGCGUAGAUAUGCGGAGGAACACCGAUGGCGAAGGCAAUCCCCUGGGCCUGUACUGACGCUCAUGCACGAAAGCGUGGGGAGCAAACAGGAUUAGAUACCCCGUAGUCCCUGUCUCUUAUACC